rnacentral:lncRNA from 1 species
AGGAACGAGAAUUUAGAGGAAAUUUCGCUUCACUUAACAUGAUAGAUCUUUCCAGCAAUAAAUUUACCGGAGAAUUUCCUACUGGAAUAGCAAGGCUUCUGGAUCUCAAAGGAUUGAACCUCUCGAGGAAUCAAUUUUAUGGAAAAGUUCCUGUACAAAUUGGUAGACUAUUUGAGUUGGAAGUUCUUGAUCUGUCCAGUAACAAUUUUUCAGGUGACAUCCCUCGAAGUAUGACUGGUUUAACUUUCCUUGCUUAUUUAGAUCUCUCAAGCAAUAACUUUUCAGCAAGAAUCCCAUUAGGAGGUCAACUGCAGGCAUUCAAUUCUUCCAUGUAUGAGGGGAAUCCUGGACUCUGUGGCUUGCCACUCACAAAAAGAUGUCCGGGAGAUAAAACAAGGGUCGAAGUUCCCCCACCAUCUAAUGGAAAUGAAGUUGAUGAAGACGAGAUUUUAUAUGAGAGAUGGUUAUAUAUAAGUACAGCCCUUGGUUUCAGCACUAGUUUUUGGGGAAUCUGUGUAACUCUACUUGUUAACAGGCGCUGGAGACAUGCAUAUUUCCUGUUCUUAACGAACUUAAAGGAUCAGCUUUAUGUGUUCAUAAUAGUGCACAUUGCUAGAUUGAAGGUAAGGCUUCAAGGUUGAGUUCAAGGUAAUUAAUAUAAAUACUUCUUUUCUCUGAAUAUUUGUUUUUUGUUUGAAGGCAGACAGAAAAUUUGAAAGUACAUAUGAAGCAAUCUCAUUUUGGUAGCAAUAUAUCCUGUGUAAUGAUAUCUUUAGAUAUUGUUUUCUUCAUUUGAUGAUAUUUUCUUUGUUUGUAAAUAUCUUUAGAUUUGUGAAUGAUGAAAUGGUAUCCACCACACCCUUUUGUAUUUUUCCGCCUAUGCUCCUUGUGUUAACAACCUUGUGCAUUUUGUUUAACUACUUGAUUCUCUUUGAAGCUAACCAGAGCAUUAUAUCUGUAUUUGCUUUCACAGGGAGGCCACCAAGAGAAAAGGCCAUGUUUCAGCCUUGCCCCUUUCAAGACUGGGCUUUGAUUCAUUAAACUCUUUAUUGCAGUUAGUAGAGUAUGGGAAUGUAUCGCCCUUUAGUUGUGCACUUCCGAUCUUAGAGAUGGCUUCUUCAGCUCGUUGAUCAUCGUCACCUAAUAUACCAUUGUCAUGACAUGUGUUGUUGAUAGGUUCAUCAGCUAAUAUACCAUUGUGCAUCUUGAAAAUCUUAUAAUAAGAAAUUCGAGAGUGUAACCAUGAUCUGUACAAUGAGAAGAGCUAUCAAAAACACAUGCAGAUGUCUCUAAAUUGUAUUUAAUUUCAUCUUCUUUAUUUUGCAUUUGAAUUUAGCUUAAAUUUAAAGUAUAUAUCUUUUGUUUUUGCAUAAACACAUGUUAAUGCUUUGUGUGUUCUUAAUUCAUGAAAUAAUGUAGGUGUCUAGAUAUUUUUUCUGAGUUUUGGAUUGUUAUCCAACAGUCAGGAGUCCAGUUCCCGUUUUCAUAAUUAAAAUUUUUUUCUCUUGUAUGUGUUGUCACUCAUAUAAUUUCUUUUGAAAUAUGUUGGUUGUGUUUGUGAAAGUGUUGAUCGCUGACAAUUUCUCUUGUAUGUGUUGUCACAUACAAUUUCUGAGUUUGUGAAAAAUUUAUUAUAUAUUUAAAUUAUCACUCACCUAAAAUUAUUAAAAAAUUUGAUAUAAAUAUGGUUUGUUAAGUUUGAACAUAAGAUAUUAGCCUUUGAAGUCAUAACAAGGCAACUGCAUAACGGCUACAAAGCCUGGUAAAUAUUUGGUUUAGAAUCUGCCAGGAGAUGCUGAUUAAGGCCACCGUAAACCAGUUAAGGUCACUAAAAUGUCCCUGUCCACUGUAACUCAAACCUUUUGGUACGUUACUAAAAGAAAAUACAUUUCUCCAAGAGCAACUACAAUGCUCACGAUCAUUUUCCGCUUUUUUUAGCCCCCAAGUGUCACGACACCACCGGACUGUUAAAGUAUUCACUGUAAUUCAAGUAUUUCUGAUCCCUUCAGCCUUAAUUCUUACAACUUUUGACACUAUUUGAAAUAUGGAUUUUAGCUCUUUGCACCUGAAGUUGUUGUUAUAUACGUCUUGCCAUUGGAUUUGGCACAUUCCUAUCCAUUGAUUGCUUGGUUUUACAUCUUGGGACACGCAUUCAAGUGCGUGUCGAGCAUAGGAAAAAAAACCUACAGAAUUAAAUGGGACAGAGGGAGUAUAUGUUAACAAAAAAUCGAAUAUGGCGGAAAUCAAAUUAUCAUACACUUAAAAGUGAACCAUAUAAAACUGUAAACAAACUAAAAACAAUAAAAAUUGAUAUAAAUUGUAUGAUUCUUGUUAUAGGUAGGAAUCAAAUUGAAAGAAACCCAUAUGAAAAUUAUUGUAUUUUUAUUUAUAAAUUUAUACUCCCUCCGUCCCUUUUUACAUGUCCAUUUUAAGAAAAAAAUGUCCCAAAUUACUUGUCCAGUUAUCUUUUCAAAGCAAUUUUUUGUAUGUUUUUUCAAAAAGUAACAACUUCCAAUGUUUGACCAGCAUAUAUAUAUAUACUCCCUCCGUCCCAUUUUAACUGUUUUUGACUUUUUUACACGUAUUGUAAGAUGUUAAAAAAAUCAUAUCUAAACAUAGUUAUUCUUUAUAAAAUUUAUAUCAAAUUAAACUUUGGAAUCUAAACUUUUAUUUUAUAUAAGAAUUGAACUUUUUUAUUGAGUGUAGCUAUUGUUUUUUUACGCCUCAAUAUACGUGUUCAAAAGUCAAACACCAGUUAAAAUGGGACAGAGGGAGUACACAACUCUAUCUAAUUCAUUACAUUUAUUAGGAAUUUGUAUGAAAACAAGAUAUCCAACUAACAGUUUCUUAAGAUGCGUUAAUUUUUCAAAAGAGACAAGUAAAAUGGGACGGAGGGAGUAUAAAUUUUAAUUUAAUAAGUACAUAUAAAGGGGCACCAAGUAAAUUUUCGAAAAACACCUAUAUAGUUUUGAAUUUUGCGGGAGCACUUCUAUAAUUUUGCAAAAUUUAGAAUGGUGAAAAAAUGUAAAAAAAAAAAAAAUUUAAGGGGGACACGUGUCCUCCGUGCCUCUUCCUAGAUCCGCCCCUGCAUACAGUGACACCGUUGGCUGCAUGUCUAUUCGUUUCAAAGUUAAAGCUGGCAAGCCAACUGCCUUGAGCAGGGUCUUUAUAGUUGAUGUAAUAAUUCCUUCCGUUUAAUAUGGAGGAAGACAUGUAAAGACUUGAGCCAAACUCAAGUCUUUAGUUGACUGACUUUCUAAUAUUAGUUGACUCACCCAGAUUACAAGUAAUAAUCAAGUAUACUGAGAGCCACUGAGGUCAUAAUCAAAGUACAUAUUUAUCUUUAUUUUAUAGUUUUAUAAUUAAAUUAAUAUUCUAUAUUUAUAAUAAAUCAGUACUAUAUAUCUUACAGAAAAUACUCUCCUAUGUCCCAGCAGGUUCUUUAUAUUACUUUGUGGCACGCAUUUUAUCUAUAAAGUAUAAUUUUAUAGUACUUUUUUUAAAAAACAAUUCCAGAAUAAAGUUAGACAUUUAAAUUUUUAUUCAAAAAAAAUAUAAUCAAACUAAAUUAUAUAAGAGUUUCAAAAUGUGUUGGUACUAAAUAUCUAUAUGUUACGAAAAGAAUUCAUUCAGUUUUAUCAAUAUGGCUAUGAGGAAUGCUAUGCAUGCUUGGUUUGUAGUUUUUGGUAUGCUAUGCAUGGAAACAAUCUUAGCAUCAUCAGAGCUGGAUUCAAACAAGACGAUGGUGAAUAAUCAUAGUUGCUAAAUACAGUUCAUUUUUGCUUUGUGCAGUUCACAGAGAUUACAAGUAUACCCUUGUGUGAAUGGUAUACAAAAUAAAUGUAGCCCUAGUUUUCUGUGCAGGUGAACAGGUGCAGCCCUAGUUUUUUGUGCAGCUGAACAGGAUUAAUCCACGCAAUCAAUACAAUCAAUACAUGCAUGCACUAACUAACUAAUACAAUUAACAUCUUUUUUCAAUCUUUAACUAAUGCAUGAAUAUUGUUUUACAUACAUUCUUUUUAUUUUUUUCAAAUCAGUAAUACAUGCAUGUUAAUAUAUUCAUGCAUGUUAAUAAAUAAAUUUGAUCGUACAUAUUCUAUCUUUUCUAUAUAAAAAGAACUCAUAGAUUUCAUUAUUUUUGUUAACAUAUCAAGCACACACUAUACUAACAUAUAUAUACAAACACUACGUACGAGUUAAAGGUGGCUAUAUUUUACAUACUUCUCGAAGGUUGGAGGCUUAUACUUUAAAACUACACAUCCAGGAGCUCAUAUCUUGUGCUUGUCUAUCUUGAUUAAGGUACUAGUUAAGCAUAUAUUAUAUUAAUAUAAGUUUUUUUUAUAUUACAUAGAUUGUUUACUAAUAAAGUGAUUCUGUUGUUUUGUGUUUACAGACAAAUUGUUUCUAUAAUUAUGGAUGAAAAAGAUGAAAAAGAAGAUUAUUCUGAAAAAGAAGAAUAUUCUGAAAAAGAAGAAAAAGAAGAUUAUUCUGUAAGUUUUACCUAAUCAUUUGUUAAUAUCUGUUAGAUUAUAUUUAAAUGUUGCUUAUUCAUUCUCAAUUUUAAUCAAAAAUAACUUAAAACUUCUGACGCUAUAUUAGGUUACAUUUCAUUUCUUUAUAUUAUAACCUUUAACUGGCCUAGGACUUUUAAUUAUAUAACCUUUAGUUGGCGUAGAAUAUUUAAUAUGUAUUAAAAAUUUAGAAAGAUAAUUUGUAUAUAUAAUGUUUAUUCAUAUAAUUUUUAUUUGACUUUAUAUAUAAUUUUUAUUAUUAAAAUAUUUCACUUUAUAUAUAAUUAAUCCACCUCUUUAAUUUUUUAUCGAUGGGUUUAAUUUUUUUUUUAUUUUGUUUAUUCUCAUUUAAUCACAACAAUUUAAAAUUUUGAAACUAUAUAACAUAAAAUAUUAAAAAGUUAACACUAGUGUUUGACAUAAUAUUAUAGUCAAAUAAAAAAUGCUUGAGUUUUUUAUAAUAUAACCUUUAGUUGACUUAAAAUCUUUAAUCUGUAUUUAGAAUUUAGAAAGAUAAUUAGUAUAUAUAAUAUUUAUUUGUAUAAUUUUAAUUUAACUUUAUAUAUAAUUUUAUUAUUAAAAUAUUUGACUUUAUAUAUAAUGUUAUCCACCUCUUUAAUUUUUUAAUGACGUGUUUAAUUUUUUUACUUUGUUCAUAAUCAAAACAAAUUAAAAUCAAAAUAACAUAAAAUAUUAAAAACUUAACAGUAGUGUUUGCAUAAAAUUUUAGUCAAAAUAAAAUACUUGAGUUUUUUUAUAAUAUAACCUUUAGGUGGCCUAGAAUUUUUAAUAUGUAUUAAAAUUUAGAAUGAUAAUUUGUAAAUCAAGUAGUAAUGUUUCUUUGUAUUGAAAGUUUGUGUGCACCUACAGUAGCUCUUGUGUGUGGACAUCAUUAAAGAAAAUAAUAUGCUUAGAAUAUCAACGGUAUAUAGCUCUUGUGUAUGGACAUAAUUAAAGAAAAUAAUAUGCUUAGAAUAUCAACUUAUAGUAUAUAACAUAAGCAUCUUAGCCUGAUUUCUCUAAUAAAACUUUUACAGUAGUCUCUGUGGAACAAAUAUAUUCAAUAGUAGUCUCAAACACAAACACACAUACACCUGAAUAUUAAAAUUUUAGUCAAAAUAAAAUACUUGAGUUUUUUAUAAUAUAACCUUUAGGUGGCCUAGAAUCUUUAAUAUGUAUUAAAAUUUAGAAAGAUAAUUUGUAAAUCAAGUAGUAAUGUUUCUUUGUAUUGAAUGUUUGUGUGCACCUACAGUAGCUCUUGUGUGUGGACAUCAUUAAAGAAAAUAAUAUGCUUAGAAUAUCAACUUAUGGUAUAUAGCUCUUGUGUAUGGACAUAAUUAAAGAAAAUAAUAUGCUUAGAAUAUCAACUUAUAGUAUAUAACAUAAGCAUCUUAGCCUGAUUUCUCUAAUAAAACUUUUACAGUAGUCUCUGUGGAACAAAUAUAUGCAAUAGUAGUCUCAAACACACAUACACCUGAAUAUUAAAAUUUUAGUCAAAAUAAAAUACUUGAGUUUUUUAUAAUAUAACCUUUAGGUGGCCUAGAAUCUUUAAUAUGUAUUAAAAUUUAGAAAGAUAAUUUGUAAAUCAAGUAGUAAUGUUUCUUUGUAUUGAAUGUUUGUGUGCACCUACAGUAGCUCUUGUGUGUGGACAUCAUUAAAGAAAAUAAUAUGCUUAGAAUAUCAACUUAUGGUAUAUAGCUCUUGUGUAUGGACAUAAUUAAAGAAAAUAAUAUGCUUAGAAUAUCAACUUAUAGUAUAUAACAUAAGCAUCUUAGCCUGAUUUCUCUAAUAAAACUUUUACAGUAGUCUCUGUGGAACAAAUAUAUGCAAUAGUAGUCUCAAACACACAUACACCUGAAUAUUAAAAUUUUAGUCAAAAUAAAAUACUUGAGUUUUUUAUAAUAUAACCUUUAGGUGGCCUAGAAUCUUUAAUAUGUAUUAAAAUUUAGAAAGAUAAUUUGUAAAUCAAGUAGUAAUGUUUCUUUGUAUUGAAUGUUUGUGUGCACCUACAGUAGCUCUUGUGUGUGGACAUCAUUAAAGAAAAUAAUAUGCUUAGAAUAUCAACUUAUGGUAUAUAGCUCUUGUGUAUGGACAUAAUUAAAGAAAAUAAUAUGCUUAGAAUAUCAACUUAUAGUAUAUAACAUAAGCAUCUUAGCCUGAUUUCUCUAAUAAAACUUUUACAGUAGUCUCUGUGGAACAAAUAUAUGCAAUAGUAGUCUCAAACACACAUACACCUGAAUAUUUAUGUUAUUACUGAAAAUUGCAGGAUGUAUAUUUUGAUAUUGAUUCGAGCCCAUUAGUGAAUGUUGCUCACUUAUUCGAGACAGAUAAGUCAUUUAAUAGUCGACAUGACUUGGAAACAUAUGUUAAAGAUGUCGGGAAGAAUAACAAUAUUGGCAUAGUUGUUAUUUCUUCUAGAGGAGGCCAAGGCAAAGGACUGGGCGAUGCCAUUGUGUAUCUCGGUUGUGAACGAUCCUUACUUUAUCGUAAACACAAAGAUAAUCAGAAUAAACCUGAAGUUAAGAAGCGUAUUACUGGAACUAAAAGGUGUAAUUGUCCAUUUCGUCUCAAGGGUAAGGAAAAUUCAGGUGGAACAUGGAACUUGUUUGUGAUUGACGGGAAUCACAAUCACAACUUCCCUUCAUAUAAUGUGGGUCGUUCAAUAAUGAGCAGAUUGUCUGAGGAUGAGAAGAUCAAAGUAAAGGAGAUGACUCGAGCUCAUGUGCCUCCCUCUCAGAUUUUGAUUUCUAUAAAGAAUGAAAACAAGGAGAAUUUGACGACAAUGAAACAAAUGUACAAUUACAGGCAAGCAAUAAGAAAAGAAGAUAUGGAAGGUCGAUCGGUUGUUCAACAACUUUUGAGUUGUUUGAGUAAAGAAUCUUAUUUCUACUCAUAUAGAGCUUCAUCCACUACUGACAUGGUUACUGAUUUGUUUUUUGCAAAUAAAAAGGCAGCUCAACUUCUGCGUCAGUUUUAUUAUGUGCUAAUUAUGGAUUGCACAUACAAGACAAAUAAGUAUAAAAUGCCAUUGCUACAAAUAGUUGGAUGUGUUCCAACCGGGAGAAAUUUUGUUGUUGGAUUGGCAUUCUUACAAGAUGAGAAGAAAGACAGUUUUGAGUGGGCCCUUCGAAAUGCAAGACUUCUUUUCGAUCCAAAUCAUCUUCCAGAAGUCAUCAUAACCGAUAGAGAAUAUGCCUUGAUUCAUGCAGUUGAUGAGGUCUUUUCUAGCAGUUAUCAUAUGUUGUGCACACGACAUAUCGCUAAAAAUGUGGAAGCUAGGGCAAAAAAUGAGACUAGGAGUCAUUUGUUUGCGCUUGGAGUUGUUGGUAAUUGGAACAGAAUGGUUUAUGCCGAAACAGAAGCAGAAUUUGAAGAAAGACUACAACAAUUUAAAAAGACUUAUGUCAAACAUCCAAAUCUACUCAUGUACAUCGAAAAUACGUGGUUGAUUCAUGUAAAAAAAUUUGUGCACGCUUAUACAAAUAAGGUGUUGCACUUUGGAAAUCGUACCACAAACAGGUAUUAAUUUUUCUUUACUAUUAUUUUGAUUUUCGUAAUCAUAAUAUUUUAUUGCGUUGUUUUAACUUGUUUUCUUUAACUAUAGGGUUGAGAGUGCCCAUAAUGCGUUAAAGAGAUUUCAUUGAGAGACGUUUAGAUUUUUGGGCGAGAGUGUGGAUCAAAAGUAUAGAUGAAGCAUGGACUACAUUACAUAAGAUUAACUAUUGUGAAAGUCCGUGUCCAAGACAAUAUUGGAUGUCUAUGGAUCAAAUGGGUCCAGCAAUUGCAACUAUGUAUAAUGUGAUUUUAGUUGUUUUAGACCAGAUACAAAUCGGUACUUUGACAUAUUUGCCAUUGUAUGCUCCACAAGGCACUACUAACCCGGAGAAAUUAAUUUGUGUUACAUUUCUACGCAAAUUUGAUCACUUUGUUUCGGUACGUAUAUAUAUCCCUCUGUAAUGUCUAUCAUGACUGAAUUAUUAACUCAUAUUAUACUCUUCUAAUAUUGUAAUCAUUAUUUUCAGGUCUCUAUGAUCAAUAAUUGUCCAGUUCCGGCGAUUGCUGGGUUUUGGUUCAAAUUACAUGAAGACUCUGUCAAUGGAUGGGAUGCUCCUCUAAAGGCUAGAGUCGAUGAAUGGAACUUAAUUCGUGGCUAAAAGUUUUAUUCGUGUUUAAUAUUGAAUAUUGUCACGUAUUUUAAUGUAUUUUUAAAUACAUUGUUAAAUAUGAAUUAUUAAUAUGAAUUUUAAAUGCAUUUUAAUGUGUUAAAUGUUUCUUGUAAGUGAAAGUGAUUUUUAAUAAUUUUUCUUGUAAUAUUAAUUAUUUUUCUUGUGAUUAAAUAUUACUCUUGCACACAAUUUUAAAAUAUAUUGAAUAUUUAUAAAAGUGAAUGAUUCUUUAAUAGUCAAUAAUAUAUUAAUUCAUAAUAGUAAAUAUGCAAAACUAAUUAGAUUAUUAAAAAUAUGAUAAUCAUAUUUUAUAAUAUUUAUUUUUGAAAAAAUAUACAUGUUUUAGAAUUAAAGCCUAAACAUUUUAAAACUUAAAAUUAAAAAUGUUAUGAAACAUAUAAAUCAAUCUGUAGCCUGUAGCGCAGUGGUUGACCUACCAUUACGUGAAACAACUAACACAUUGUAAUCAGCAGCAGAGUACAUUUACUAGGUUUCACACAUUUAAUAGGGUUAAGGGAUAUAGUUGUAAUCUCCGCGAACUGCACAAAGCAAAAGUGAACUGUAUUUAGCAACACCCUGAAUAAUAACAACAAGUGCAUUGAAACAGAGAGACUUGCUCUGCUCGACAUCAAACGAGGCCUUGUAGACACAUUUGGCAGUCUUUCUUCAUGGGGGAGCAGCAAACACGAGAAAGAUUGCUGCCAGUGGAGCUUUGUUAGGUGCGACCUCAACACUGGUCAUGUUACCCAUCUUCAUCUUUCAUAUCUUAAUCAGGGCCGUUCCAUACCUUUUGAGGGCCCAGGGGCGAAAGAAGAAAAUGGACCCUAUUUUGUUUACUUCACUAAAUUUGAUAAAAUAUGACCUCGUAGAAAUGUAAACUCAAAUUUUAGUCAACUUCCGUAAGAAAAUAACUAUAAAAUAAUCAAGUUUCACGAUAAAGUGUACACGAUGUAAAAAAAGAAGAUUAAACAAAUGUUUGAUGACAUUUAUUUGUUAGUGCAUGAUUGAUAGUACCAUUAUUUUAGGUACGGACGUAGUCACUUAGGAUAGAAUAGGACGUAGUCACUUAGGAUAGAAUAGGCUUACAGGACUGAUAUAUACUAAUAACAAUACAUAAAUUAUAAAAUUCUUGGGCCCCUAAAUUUUUUGGGCCCUGGGCGGUCGCCCUGGUUGCCCUCCCUCUGGGCCGGGCCUGAUCUUAAUCCUCGUGAUGAAUAUGGUGAAUCCGUAGCUUCUAAUAUCAGUUCUUCUAAUAUCAGUUCUUCAUUGCUUCUUCUAAGGAAUCUACAGUACCUCGAUCUCAGUGAUAAUAUAUUUGGCAUUUCAAUUCCGAGUUUCAUUGGUUCCCUUGCAAACUUAGUUCACCUUGAUCUUUCCGGUUCUGAGUUUCAGGGAGCAAUUCCAGAUGAGCUUGGGAAUCUCUCCAAGCUCAGUUUUCUCGAUCUUAGCCAUAAUCAACUUGAAGGUAUGAUUACAAACUCCUUUUGUAAUCUGCCAAGCUUGCAAACUGUUGAUUUCUCCUAUAACAAUCUAACUGGGAAUCUUCAAGAAUUCGAACACAAAUCAGUUUUGAGAAGCUUGUCUUUGUCAAAUAAUCAUCUUCAAGGUUCUUUACCUAAUUUCUCAGGAUUUUCAUUCUUAGAGGAAUUAUAUCUUAAUGAUAAUAAAUUUUCUGGGAGUGUUCCUGAUUUUGAUGGAUGUUUGGCAUUGGAAUACUUGGAUCUUAGUGGGAAUCAAUUGACUAGCUGGGAAACUCAAUCAAUAGAACAACUCACUAAUCUUGUUGAGUUAGAUCUUUCAAGGAAUUCGAUCAACAAUACAAUCAAUGAACAUCAUUUGUCCAAACUAUACAGCCUCCACCGGAUAAAUGCAUCAUUUAAUUCUUUGACAUUCAAUAUCAGUUCUGAGUGGCUUCCCCCUUUCAACCUUGCACAGCUUUCUUUGGCAUCAUGCAAGUUGGGGCCAAAAUUCCCCAUUUGGAUCCGAAAUCAAUCUAAAAUCAGAACUCUCGAUUUCUCAAACACCCAAAUUUCAGAUACCAUCCCCAUGUGGUUCUGGGACAACUUUACCCAAAUGAAGACUUUAGAUCUCUCUUCCAACAAAAUCAGUGGCACAUUGCCCACCAUACAAUCACAAACUAUUGAGAUAAAUUUGAGUUAUAAUAACUUUGAAGGACCAUUACCGCUCAUUUCCCCAAAGUGUUCAGAAAUUAAUCUAUCUCAUAAUAAGUUUUCAGGAAAACUUGUAUUAUCUACGACUGAACAUAUGAGGUUGAGGUUCCUUGACCUUUCUCAUAACUUGUUGAUUGGCGAGCUUCCUGAUAGUUGGAAAUAUUUUAAACAUCUCUUGUUUCUUAAUCUUGGAAAUAAUUAUUUUUGGGGUAGAAUUCCUUUGUCUAUAGGGUCUCUACAUUCUCUCAAUAAAUUGAUUUUGAGAAAUAACAGGUUGGAUGGAGAAUUGCCCGAGUCUUUAAGAAAUUGCACCGACCUUGGUUUUGUCGAUUUUGGUUUGAAUGGCCUAUCUGGAACUUUGCCGGCAUGGAUUGGGAAAGAUCUACCUCAGUUGUAUGCUCUAGUUUUGAAAUCCAAUAAAUUUUAUGGGAGCCUGCCUGAUGAUCUGUGUCAUCUCUCACAUCUUCAUUUUCUAGACCUGUCCAUGAACAGAUUAUCAGGAUAUGUUCCCCCAUGCUUCAGUAGUCUAAUUGCUAUGAUUAAUAGUGGAAACAAGGCCUCUGAAUCUCGAGGGUCUCCAUCUCAAGCAUUUCUAUAUCCAAAGAGACAUAUUUGUUACAGUAAAUGUGUGGUGGCUUUCAACCGUGCAAAAUAUAGUUAUGUGGAUGAUGCAUUGGCAGGAUGGAAAGGAAAGGAACGGGAAUAUAGAGGAAAUUUCGCUUACCUUAAGAUGAUAGAUCUUUCCAGCAAUAAAUUUACCGGAGAAUUUCCUACUGGAAUAGCAAGGCUUCUAGAUCUCAAAGGACUGAACCUCUCUAGGAAUCAGUUUUAUGGAAAAGUUCCUGUACAAAUUGGUAGACUAUUUGAGUUGGAAGUUCUUGAUCUGUCCAGUAACAAAUUUUCAGGUGACAUCCCUCGAAGUAUGAC